AGGGUGGGACCUUAUGAAUUACACGACUCCAUAAGAUGUAGGCAAUUUUAUUUUGGCAAGAAAUGCAAGCUUUGCCUUUUAUUUUUACACUCAAUUCAAGUCCAUGUGCAUCCAUAUCCUUCAAAAGAAGGGAUUCAUACUCAUCUGCAGAGCACAGAUUAAUUAAUAAUUAAUUGUUCCAUUUUAUCUUUCAGGUUACAGUACUUACUACCCAUUUAGGAACUCUGUGAGCCGUAAAAUGAUCUGCCCAAAGCUCAUGAGUGCCAGCUGUGUGCCCAACACCAUGCUAUGCUGGUGGCCAAGGCCCUGCCUGCAUAGAGAAUAUCAUCUGGGGAGAAUUCAGACAGCAAGAACCAAGUGUGAGGAUUAUGACCAAACGAGCAGCACUGGGUCCAGGCCCACGGUGCUAGAAGCCAAUAUUCAGUUUUCAGCAGAGAAACAAUUGGGUAAGAGAGCAUUUUGCUGGCCUCCAAAGCCUAAUAAACAUGAAUUAGUCACGCUUAGGCCAGAGACCAUGUAUGUUUUUCUUAGAGCUCAUGGUUGCAAGCAACAGAAACCAGUUCUGCUCAUCGAAGUAAAAGGGAGUUUAUCAGAAAGAAAUUUGAGGUGCAGAUGCACAGAAUUAAUGGGCAGUCAGAGAACUUGGCUUUGAAAUGGACGGGAAGAGAAGGCUGGACAACAGGAACUAGGGUUUAAUAGUAGAAAUGGCCAUGGUGAGCUGGCUGCUGACUUCUGAUCAGUCUUUUCAUCUUCAUGUUAUCUCCUCAAGAUCCAAAGUUCUGGGAAACCAUUCGCAAUUGGUUAAGCUUAGUUCUUAUACCUCCUCCUAGGCUGUCUCCAGGUCAGAAGAAGGUGAAGGUGAUCCCUGACUUGCUUGCAGUGUGGGAUCAUCACAUGAAACGGCCCUUUCACCAAGAGUACGUGUAAGAGGGAAGAGCUCAUUUCACCUCCCCCUCUCAAAAUGGCAGUACAUCGAAAGAGCGGGAAUGGACGUGAGGCUACAAAUGACCACAAGGUACACUCAGCCACUUCUUGUUUAUUUGUUCAGAACCUUGAAGGAAAUGUCCGUCCUUUGAAUUGAUCAAAUACUAGUAGUAUUCUUAGGCUACUUAAUACUUAUCGUAUUAAUAAUAUUAUAUUAUCAAUAUGAUCAAUAAGUAUCAAUAUACUUAUAGUUAUAUUGAUCUCCAUGACCAACUAAUUUUGGAUCAAUAUAGGUGGUGAAAAUGGCUCUAUCACACUUUAAAGGGGGGAGUUUCUGAAAGUAUGGGUUUUAAAUGCUUUAAUUGGUCAUGAUAUUUAGGCAAAAAUAUCCUCAAUAUAAAUUUCUAAAUUUAUGAAUUCAUAAGCAAAGUGCAGUAUAGGGAUAAGAAAAUUAUAGCAUUUGAUGUCAGAAAAUCUGCCAACUGAGAAUCUUAAUAAGUUCUUAGUAACUGUUGUUUCAUUUGCAUGGAAGUCACACAGACCAAAGGACAUAUAUGUAAGUCCUUAAAAAGAAUUGUUCUAAAUUCAAUGUGGAAUCCUUGAUUAGAUCCUGGAACAGGAAAAAAAAAAAAAAAAAAAAAAUAUAUAUAUAUAUAUAUAUAUAUAUAUAUAUAUAUAUAUUCCAAAUGAAGUCUGUACUUUAAUAAUAUUAUUCCAAAGUUAUUUUCUUAAUUUGAUAAACAUUCUAUGGUUGUAUACAAUGUUGCCAUGAGGGGAAGAUGGCUAAAGAAUAAAUAGGAGCUCUGUAACCUUUCCUUGCA
rnacentral:lncRNA from 12 species